rnacentral:tRNA from 6 species
GCAUCUGUAGCUCAAUUGGAUAGAGCGUCUGACUACGGAUCAGAAGGCUAUGGGUUCAACUCCUGUCAGGUGCGCCA